rnacentral:rRNA from 1 species
GACGAACGCUGGCGGCGUGCUUAACACAUGCAAGUCGAACGGAAAGGCCCUGCUUUUGUGGGGUGCUCGAGUGGCGAACGGGUGAGUAACACGUGAGUAACCUGCCCUUGACUUUGGGAUAACUUCAGGAAACUGGGGCUAAUACCGGAGAGGAGCUCCUGCUGCAUGGUGGGGGUUGGAAGGUUUCGGCGGUUGGGGAUGGACGCGCGGCUUAUCAGCUUGUUGGUGGGGUAGUGGCUUACCAAGGCUUUGACGGGUAGCCGGCCUUGGAGGGUGACCGGCCACCUUGGGACUGCGGUACGGCCCAGACUCCUACGGGGGGCAGCAGUGGGGAAUAUUGCACAAUGGGCGGACGCCUGAUGCAGCAACGCCGCGUGCGGGAUGCCGGCCUUCGGGUUGUAAACCGCUUUCGCCUGUGACGAAGCGUGAGUGACGGUAAUGGGUAAAGAAGCACCGGCUAACUACGUG